rnacentral:rRNA from 1 species
CUGGUUGAUCCUGCCAGUAGUCAUAUGCUUGUCUCAAAGAUUAAGCCAUGCAUGUCUAAGUUUAAGCACCCUUAAACGCGAAACUGCAGAUGGCUCAUUAAAUCAGUCAUAGUUGGAGCAGCCUAAAGCACUAGGAUAACCGUGGUAAUUCUAGGGCUAAUACUUGCAGUGCGUCAGCACUUCCAUGUUUGUGGGCCUAUCAUACCAAUGCCUUUGGCAUAUGUGAAUAACUGCAAAUAUUGAUCGCAUGGCUUCAUGCCGGCGACAAGCUGCUCAAAUGUCUGCCCUAUCAGCUUACGUUGGUAGCGUAUUGGGCUACCAUGGCUUUUACGGGUAACGGGGAACAAGGGUUCGGUUCCGGAGAGGGAGCCUGAGAGAUGGCUACCACUUCUAAGGAAGGCAGCAGGCGCGCAAAUUACCCAAUAGCAAUACGCUGAGGUAGUGACAAGAAAUACCAAUAUGGGUCCCCGCAAGGGAUCUGUAAUUGGAAUGAACCCAAUUUAAAACUCUUAAUGAGUACCAAUUGGAGGACAAGUCUGGUGCCA